CGCUCGCGCUGCUGCAGCAGGUGAAUUAGUGAAGGUAAUUAACCACUGAAACUGGUUAUGUCGGGUUUAAUUAUGUAACUAUGUUAUAGGGUUUCAUAGSAAUACAAAAUAUACAAAAUGUAAUAAAUAAAGAAGUUUUAAAUGGAAGUUAAAGAAGAAGUCAGCAUUUCUUGGACGUACCUGUGUGGAAGAGUCCAUCUUGACUGGACGGCAUCUUCGAUGGUUUCAAUUUCCAGCCCAUUCCCCAAUUUUCAACCCCAAUGACAGACAACACACGCCGGAAUGGCUGUUUAGUCGUACAAGAGGUGCAGAUCUAAGCAGUGAAGACGAGGAGGAGGAGGAGGAGGAAGGACUGCAGACACGGAGAAAGAAAGAUAGAAAACGGGGAGGAGUAGAUGAAGAGACACCCAGACAAAGAGGUGGUUUCGGUCUACCAGGAACACACAGCUCUAGCCGCCAGCAGUGUGUCAGUGGUGGUCCCCUCAUCCAGUCUGCUGCAGCAGCUGCCAGAGAGGCACCAGGCUGAGCGAGACCCAGAUCCUUCCAUGGCCCCGUCUCAGGUCCAGAGCCCCAUCAACUCCCUGUUCCUCCGGGCCCAGCUGUCUUCUCCUGCUCUCUGUCUUCACACCAAAAACCAUGUUAGUYGCCCUGAAUCAGAACCCUGGGGCCUGUGUCUUUUUUCUUUUCAUGCAGCCUCAGCAGAAGCCCCCUUCAUCCCCUCGUAUGCCUUCAUAACAAAACCAACCUCAGCUUCUCAACACCGCCUGACCUAAUAUCUCUCCUGCAGCUUCUUCCACACCAAAUAAUUUGCUCCCAUGUGCAUUCAGACCGGACAGUAACAUGUAAAAGCUGUAUUUCUUUUCCUAUUURUGUUACAGUAGGGUAAAGUUCUAAUCAGUGUCAUAAAGUAAAUCUGUGCUCGUAAAAUCCUUUAUAACAGCUGCUAGCAUAUUGAGCCAACAGACAUCAGACAAUUCAGCUGCUUGACUAAAAGAUACAGGAAACACGACCAGAAACUAAAUGUGAGUGUGUGAAAAUGAAAAAAGAUCACUUCAGGACAUGAUCUGACCAAGUUUAUUGUUGUUUUUUAGUUGACAUUUUGCUGAAGCGUUUCUUCCACAUGAUCAAACUGUUAUUUGGUCAUAAAAUGAUAAUUAACUUGUUAAAUUACAGUGAAGGUGAUCACCAUGCAGGCACGUGUGAUGAUAGUAGAAAUAAAAUUACUAUUUUAUAAUGAAAUAACUUAUAAAUAAUCAACAGUUGGGUAAAUAAGAUACUGUAAACAAAUUAUAAUUGUAUUAAUGCUUAUGAAUACGUAUAGUUGAUGCUGACUCAGCUUCUGCCAGAUCAAAUGUUUUAAUAGUUAUUUAUUCAGAUAAAUGUAUUAUUGUCUUUGUUGCUCACCUCAACAAAGAUCUCCCAUUAAUCACUUACCUUUGCUUUACUGUAUUACAUUAUUCUUGAUAAAUAYUUACAUCCACUCAACUUUAUUUAUUUGGCAGUUUUCAAGUGUAACUCAAAGUUCUGCACACAACAGGUCAAUAGAAUUAGGCAUGACGAUAUAAAUCAAAACAAAACAUAAAACCAGAAAUAUAAAACAAAAA